GAGCAUAUGAUCGAAGGACCUGUUCUCCUGGACGAGCACGACUAUCGUCUUGAUCCGGCCGCUCGGCUGCGCUGCAUUGGUGCCGGGGCUCAAGAGGAGCAGCAGGACAAGAGGGGACAAGAUUAAAUAGCGCGCGCUGGAUUCUUUGCUUGGCCACUUCAAGAAUACCAGCGCAACAAAGGAAUGAGUAGCGCUCACUCCAGUCGAUGCAAAUCUUAUAAGCAAGUAUGGUGAGUGUGCACGCUCAUGACUUUGCCUUGCACGCAUCCAGCCCAAACUCAUGAGGGUCCUCCAGCCCCAAAGCAGGCCCGAGCGAAUGAAAAGAACAGAAGGUGUGAAAGAAACCCCCAGAAAGCGAGCAAGAACCUUUUCUCUCAAACAGCGGAGAGGAAGAUAGACGAUGAUGCGAAUAUGCCGCGUCCAUUUGUCUGGAUUGGUUAAUUGAUGCCAGUAACUGUUUGGCAA